rnacentral:lncRNA from 1 species
GGAAAGCAGCAGCCUAAGCAGAUAAACGUUGAGGUCAAGGUCUGAGGAUUUAUCAACUCCAGUUACGGCCUCCACUUGCUUCUCCUUAACGAAAUAAAGCAGCUUAAAUGACCUGAAAAUACUGAGAUAAGCAGCCAGGAACCUGCCAGCAGCUUGCCCCUCCAAGCACAGGGAUGAGAAUGCAUCAGAGAGAGGGCAGGGCAGAGCCUCGUGGGCCCGGUGGUGCGCAGAGGAUGCGGGGUGCAAACAGGGAGCAAAUAGGGAGCAAAUAGGGUGCACUGAGCCUUCGUGCCACCCUUGGCUCCCUUUGGUGCUGCACGCCCUGCUGAGGUGCUUGCUUAUUUAUUUAACUCUUCUGCUGCAAAGGUUAAACAAAUCAUACAUUACCGAUUCAGUGCAAAUGACAGGAGGAUCUCUACACAAUCCAAUUAUCCGGAGCUCUCAGGCAGAACGUGCCCACCCCACACCUGCUGACCCACAUCGGGUCGUGCCGUGGUACCAAAGCCUGUUUCCAGCUGGCUGAUGGCUGUGGUCAAGUGGUCCCUUUGCCAUUCUGAUGCCCGCUUAUCUGGAGCAGUGCUUCUUCCUGCUGGCUGAAGGAUGAACCUGAAGCAGACAUUCAGCUCCAGGUGUAGGAAUCGACAUUUUACCCUUCUCUAUUUGAAAUCUGGGCUUGCUCUCAGCAGGAGAAUCACACUGGAUUGGGAGAGAGAACUGCACAGUGUGAAAGCUGUGGGCAGCAGUGUGUU